rnacentral:rRNA from 1 species
GGGUUGUAAACUUCUUUUAUAAAGGAAUAAAGUCGGGUAUGCAUACCCGUUUGCAUGUACUUUAUGAAUAAGGAUCGGCUAACUCCGUGCCAGCAGCCGCGGUAAUACGGAGGAUCCGAGCGUUAUCCGGAUUUAUUGGGUUUAAAGGGAGCGUAGAUGGAUGUUUAAGUCAGUUGUGUAAGUUUGCGGCUCAACCGUAAAAUUGCAGUUGAUACUGGAUGUCUUGAGUGCAGUUGAGGCAGGCGGAAUUCGUGGUGUAGCGGUGAAAUGCUUAGAUAUCACGAAGAACUCCGAUUGCGAAGGCAGCCUGCUAAGCUGCAACUGACAUUGAGGCUCGAAAGUGUGGGUAUCAAACAGGAUUAGAUACCUUGGUAGUCCACACGGUAAA